rnacentral:rRNA from 1 species
GUCCAGACUCCUACGGGAGGCAGCAGUGGGGAAUAUUGCACAAUGGGGGAAACCCUGAUGCAGCGACGCCGCGUGAGCGAUGAAGUAUUUCGGUAUGUAAAGCUCUAUCGGCAGGGAAGAAAAUGACGGUACCUGACUAAGAAGCCCCGGCUAACUACGUGCCAGCAGCCGCGGUAAUACGUAGGGGGCAAGCGUUAUCCGGAUUUACUGGGUGUAAAGGGAGCGUAGACGGCUGUGCAAGCCAGAUGUGAAAGCCCGGGGCUCAACCCCGGGACUGCAUUUGGAACUGUGUGGCUGGAGUGUCGGAGAGGCAGGCGGAAUUCCUAGUGUAGUGGUGAAAUGCGUAGAUAUUAGGAGGAACACCAGUGGCGAAGGCGGCCUGCUGGACGAUGACUGACGUUGAGGCUCGAAAGCGUGGGGAGCAAACAGGAUUAGAUACCCGGGUACC